rnacentral:misc_RNA from 1 species
CUCGUAUUAUCUGAUUUUGUGCUGCAUAAAAUGUUUACUUCAUCUGAAUUGGAUGGGAUUAGUUCGCUAGAACUUGGUGCUGGAACUGGGCUGGUGGGUAUGUUGCUUGCACAUGUUNNNNNNNNNNNNUCCUAACAGACUGUGGCACUGAAAUCCUUGACAACUGUGCAAGGAAUGUUCAACUCAAUUCUGAAGUGUUAAACUAUCAGGAUGCAAUUCAUGUACGCGAACUUGAUUGGUUGGGUUCCUGGCCACCUGCAUUAUGCCUAGAAAAUUCUGGAGAUCAUAAAAGGUAAAAUGUUAGUUGAUAUUCUUUUUAACAAGCAC